AGAGUUUGAUCCUGGCUCAGGACGAACGCUGGCGGCGUGCCUAACACAUGCAAGUCGAACGGGGAUUUUGUUUCGGCAGAAUCCUAGUGGCGAACGGGUGAGUAACGCGUAGGCAACCUGCCCCCCGGCCGGGGACAACACGCCGAAAGGUGUGCUAAUACCGGAUACGAAGCGAGCACCGCAUGGUGCUUGUUUGAAAGACGGCCUCUAUUUAUAAGCUGUCGCCGGGGGAUGGGCCUGCGUCCGAUUAGCUGGUUGGCGGGGUAACGGCCCACCAAGGCGACGAUCGGUAGCCGGUCUGAGAGGAUGGACGGCCACAUUGGGACUGAGACACGGCCCAGACUCCUACGGGAGGCAGCAGUGGGGAAUCUUCCGCAAUGGGCGCAAGCCUGACGGAGCAACGCCGCGUGGGUGAGGAAGUUUUUCGGAACGUAAAGCCCUGUUGUUUAUGACGAACGGCCCUUCUGUGAAGAAUGGAGGGGAAUGACGGUAAUAGACGAGGAAGCCACGGCUAACUACGUGCCAGCAGCCGCGGUAAUACGUAGGUGGCAAGCGUUGUCCGGAAUUAUUGGGCGUAAAGCGCAUGUAGGCGGUAAUUUAAGUCUGUCGUGAAACUGCGGGGCUCAGCCCCCGUAUGGCGAUGGAAACUGGAUUACUUGAGUGCAGGAGAGGAAAAGGGGAACUCCCAGUGUAGCGGUGAAAAUGCGUAAAUAUUGGGAAAAAACACCCGGUGGCGAAGGCGCCCUUUCUGGACUGUGUCUUGACCCUGAGAAUGCGAAAAGCCAGGGUAACGAACGGGAUUUAGAUACCCCCGGUAGUCCUGGCCGUUAAAACGAUGGGGUACUAGGUGUGGGGAGGUAUCGACCCCUUCCCGUGCCGGAGUUAACGCAAUAAAGUACCCCGCCUGGGGAGUACGGCCGCAAGGCUUAAACUCAAAGGAAUUGACGGGGGCCCGCACAAGCGGUGGAGUAUGUGGUUUAAUUCGACGCAACGCGAAGAACCUUACCAGGUCUUGACAUCGAGUGCAAGGGAUAGAGAUAUCCCCCUCUCUUCGGAGACGCGAAGACAGGUGGUGCAUGGCUGUCGUCAGCUCGUGUCGUGAGAUGUUGGGUUAAGUCCCGCAACGAGCGCAACCCCUAUCCUAUGUUACCAGCACGUCGCGGUGGGGACUCAUAGGAGACUGCCAGGGACAACCUGGAGGAAGGCGGGGAUGACGUCAAGUCAUCAUGCCCCUUAUGUCCUGGGCUACACACGUACUACAAUGGCCGGCAACAGAGGGAAGCGAAGCCGCGAGGCGGAGCGAACCCCAGAAACCCGGUCCCAGUUCGGAUCGCAGGCUGCAACCCGCCUGCGUGAAGUCGGAAUCGCUAGUAAUCGCAGGUCAGCAUACUGCGGUGAAUACGUUCCCGGGCCUUGUACACACCGCCCGUCACACCACGAAAGUUGGUAACACCCGAAGCCGGUGGGGUAACCGUGAGGAGCCAGCCGUCUAAGGUGGGGCCGAUGAUUGGGGUGAAGUCGUAACAAGGUAGCUUUAUGGGAAGGUGCGGCUGGAUCACCUCCUUUCU
rnacentral:rRNA from 1 species